rnacentral:rRNA from 1 species
UACGGAGGGGGCUAGCGUUGUUCGGAAUCACUGGGCGUAAAGGGUGCGUAGGCGGGUCUUUAAGUCAGAGGUGAAAUCCUGGAGCUCAACUCCAGAACUGCCUUUGAUACUGAAGAUCUUGAGUUCGGGAGAGGUGAGUGGAACUGCGAGUGUAGAGGUGAAAUUCGUAGAUAUUCGCAAGAACACCAGUGGCGAAGGCGGCUCACUGGCCCGAUACUGACGCUGAGGCACGAAAGCGUGGGGAGCAAACAGG